rnacentral:tRNA from 1 species
GGUAAGAUGGCUGAGUUUAGGCAAUAAAUUGUAAAUUUAUUUACGAAAUAAUAAUUUCUCUUACCA